UACGUAGGGCGCGAGCGUUGUCCGGAAUUAUUGGGCGUAAAGAGCUCGUAGGCGGCUUGUCACGUCGGGGUGUGAAAGCCCGGGGCUUAACCCCGGGUCUGCAUUCGAUACGGGCUAGCUAGAGUGUGGUAGGGGAGAUCGGAAUUCCUGGUGUAGCGGUGAAAUGCGCAGAUAUCAGGAGGAACACCGGUGGCGAAGGCGGGUCUCUGGGCCGAUACUGACGCUGAGGAGCGAAAGCGUGGGGAGCAAACAGG
rnacentral:rRNA from 1 species